ensembl:lncRNA
GCCCGGUGAUGACAUCGUCUCGAUACUGCGGACAGACGAGAGAGGACGCCGAGGUGUCCUCGCUGAUGCGUGUGACCAGCAGGUGACAGUAAAGGACCACGCGUGGACGAGCUGUGGCCGAGUCACUCAGAGUUUACCAUCUGUUGCUCUGCACGAGUUCCCCGGAGAUGCCAGACUCUAGGUAGACCUAAUGCUUGUUCCUCACGCUCAUCACACUUUUUAUCAUUAUUAUUAUUAUUAUUAUUAUUAUUAUUAUAUCUCCAGCCACGUCUUCUGAGUCAUGUUUUUGUGGCCACUUUUUAAAUCAGUUUCAAUUACAGAGCCUGAGGGAAGGUCUCCAACAUUUGGGUCAAGAGAGAAGUGGGACCUGGAAAGAAAAUAACCUUCA